ACAUGUUCUUCUCAUGGCAAUCUUCUCAUGGCAAUGACAGAAACACCACACACACCAAGCAUUUACUUCUGCAAUUACCACUAACAUCCCACUGGCCAAUGCAAAACACAUGGUCAAGCAUAGUAUCAAUCAGGCAGUGCGAGGGAGAUAGGAGUUUUGUUUGCUGAGCAAUCACACCGACUAUUAUUGCCAACUCUCUUGUUUAUGUUAAUUCAUGACCUUCCCAUAUGCAAGAUACACUAAUCCACAUCCCAAGACCUUCAAAAGUCUCACCUAGUCACAGCAUCAAAUUCAAAGUCUAGGACCUUGUGAUCCAUGUCAGGUCAAAAUGUGGCUUUUCUUCAUCCAGAGACCUAUUAAUAAAAUGACAGGUUAUCUACCCAGCACACAUCCAAUGUAUAGGGGUUGAACAGGAAUGGGAUAAAAGUAAUAACUUGCAUUAGAAAAAUCAGUGCUUUCCCCAGACUGAUUGCUGCCUUAGGAAAGAUGGAAUUUGCAAGACCUUUUUAUAUCUCAAAUGAUUUUAGUCUUUUAGUUCAGGCUGGCAAUGCUUUUUCCAAUAUGGCUCUUUUAAAAAUGUUGUAAGUUUCAAACAUCAUUGCACCAAAAUAUGUGACGCCCAUAUUUCUUUUUGAGAUAUGAUUCUCUCUAGAGACUCAAUUACAGAUACUUUAGAAGUUUCUAGCUUCUUCUGAACCAAGACCUCAAUCCUUGUAGGAAUUAUUUUGUCUAUGUAAAAGGAUCUUAUAGGUAUCCUAAUCACUUCAAAAGUCUUAGCCAAGGAACUUAAACCACAGACUUUACCCUGAGGCAAUAUCUUACUGACAGUCCCCUGAAUUUGUUCUUUUCCUUGACACUAUGUCAUAAUGGGCAUACAGCUUUGUUGAAAAAUAAUUUUAUUUUCCACUUCCACUCUCAUUGAUAGGUAUUUUUUAAAUACAUCUUAUUAAACAGAAACUGGUUUCUCUCUAAGAGUUAGAGAUGAUCAUCCAUACCAUCAUUCUUACAAAGGGUAUAUUGGAAGUACAUGGAGACCUCCAAAUGUUGUCCUUGCUUCUGUAAAUAUCAUCUCAGAAAAUGGUUAAAGCUAAGGUAAUAUAGGGAAUUUAUAAAGCAAGAACCAGACUUAUUCAGCAAGAAGAGCAAAAUUAAUUACUGCACUUCAGGCAAAAGAUCUGUUCUUGGGGCUGUUCUUCCCAAUGCAAUAAGAGAAAUUUAAUAAAGUUUUUCAGAAAAUAUUCAUGGAUGAAUUCACGGCAACACAAUGAGCAUUAUUGAUGAAUGAGAGAACAACCACCAGUGAUUAUACCUGGGACCUUGGUGUGAGGAGAGCAACUAACAGCCAGUCAAUUAAAAAUUUUGAAGGAAAUGAAUGUUCCUAAUGGAUGCCAGGCAAUUACAUGAAACUAUAUUUUCGCACACUAUCACUGGGGACCAUAAAAUUAUUCAUAUAAUCAGUAGACCUUCAUGGAUUGACACAGAACUGUAAAACACAAAGUAAAAUAGAAUUAUAAAAUCAUGCUUUUGGUCCUAUCUUUGCUGGUUUUGGCACAUAGAAGUGGCUUCUGAUUUUCUCUCAACUAGGAUGGAAAAUCUAAUCACUGAUACCACCCACACACCAGCCUCAUACAACUCUAGGCCAUUCCCUGAAUACACUUUUGAUUCCCUGUGUCCUCCUUUAGCCCUUCAUUAUCUCAGGAAUCUCAGGCCAUUCCAUGAAUACACUUCUCAAUUCCCUGUGUCCUCCUUUAGCCCUUCAUUAUCUCCAACCUGGAUAAGACAGUUGAGCUGUUCCAUCAGCCUUAGUUCUUAUUCCCUUGUCUCUUUUUUUUUUUUUUUUUUUUCUCUUGUCCUUUUUAGGGCUACACCUGCAGCACAUGGAGGUUCCCAGGCCAGCGAUCCAAUUGGAGCUGCUGCUGCCGGCCUACACCACAGCCACGCCACAUCUGAGCCACAUCUGUGACCUACACUGCAGCUCAUGGCAACACAAGAUCCUUAACCCACUGAGCAAGGCCAGGGAUCGAACCCACAACCUUAUUGUUCCUAGUCGGAUUCGUUUCCACCGCGCCACGACAGGAACUCUGAUUCCCUUGUCUCUUAAAGCCUUGCUCCAAUGCCAUCUCCUGCAUAAAUUGCAUUUCUUAAUUGCAUUUCUAAGAAUAAUUACCUUUUCAUAGCACCCUGUUUAUUCCUCUUUGGGGGAUCAUCACCAUGUAAUGUGUUUUACUAGAGUAUGAUGCAUUGACAUCUGUUGCCCAUAUUGGACAGCAAGUUUCCAGAGGUAGUGUAUGGGCUUUAUCCCACUUUACCCCUUGCACACAAUGUUCAAUGUUCUAACAUGCAAGACUUCUAGCAGUUGAGUCAUUUAUAAAAUGAUUCUGACUUAUUAUGCUCAGAGCCCAGUUGGACCUCACUAUCCUGUUGACCUCAGUCAUUUAUUUUUCUAAGCCAUAGUUCUAUAGUUAAUCCCAUGAUCACCAAGCCUUCAGAAUAAUCUUCCUACAUAAUUUCAAGACAAAUGUUCCAACUGGGAUUCUGCUAGCAGUGGUAGCCACAAGGACUUUCUGAAGCAUGCAGUAGAUCUUUACCAAAAUAGGGAAUGAUGGAUAUGCUUAGAUAUGUAUACGUUGCUAGGUUUUUCAGCUUCAGAGGCUAGCUAUAGAUGACUGACUAAUGUACCAGACUAGAAAAAACAUAAAAAACUGUUUAUUUAUAAAACCAAGAAAUAAAGAAGAGCAAUUCCUGAGUACUUGAUUACUAUAUGACAUCGUGAGCAUGUAUUUUAUGAAGCCAAAGAUGAAUGAGAUUGGCUUGGAAAUCACCAAACCUCAGAACUAAUUGAGCACACAUGUACUUUGUGAAGGCCAGGUGAGAUGAACAAAAGGGUUUUCUGAGAAAAAUUGUAUGUGAAAACUGAAGUUGAAGAUGCCAGUUAGUCACUCCAUACGUUGUAUCUGGCCACCCAAAAAUGUAAGCGAUAAUUAAUAGCUGAACACUGGCUUUCCCAAGAUUUUAUCUGUGACAGCCUACAUGGAGAGGUGAGGAAAUCUGGGAUCAGCCUAAUUAUGGAGAAUUAUUUCACCAUAAAAGGCAAAGAAAAGCAAUAUGGAUAUAUUUAGUUAUGGAUAUUGAGUUUGUUUUUGUUUAAAAUGUAUUGUGAAUCUGAGAUAAUUUUAAAAUGAUGAGUACAGGAAGUUCCCAUUGUGGCUCAGCGGUAAUGAGCCUGACUGGUAUCCACAAGGAUGUGGGUUCGAUCCCUGGCCUCAUUUGGUGUGUUAAGGAUCCGAUGUUGCUGUGAGCUGUGGUGUAGGUCACAGGCAUGGCUCAGAUCUGGUGUUGCUGUGCCUGUGGUGUAGGCUGGCAGCUUCAACUCCUGUUUGACCCCUGGCCUGGGAACUUCCAUAUGCUGCAAAUGCAGCCCUAAAAAGCAAGUAAAAAUAAUAAUAAAUAAAUAAUAAAAUAAAAUGAUGAGUACAACAUAACCAUGGAAGAUGAUUAAUACUAAGUUUUACUGAACUUCAUCCUCAUACGUGGGAGACCUCUCAAAGCACCCCCAACCCCAGAUGUAUAUGUUGAGUUAAUGUGCACACUUCCAGACCCCUUUGUUACGGGAAAUAUUUCCCAAGAAGUAUUCACAGAAGUGCUUUGCACUAUCGUUGUUUUGCUUUAGUAUCUUGAUAUUGAUUUUUAAAUAUAACAUCAUAUAUGUGAGCAUGUGUUAGUGUAAUAUAAACAAACCGUUAUUUAGUCAAAUUUUGUAUGCGCAUUACUAGAUGAAUGUAAUGACAAUGGGGCCAAAGGAUUUCUAAGGACCUCUUUAUGGACAAAUAUUUAUUCAGUCAUCUGCCAUUUUAGUGAAAAAUUAUAUGUGCCUAGCAUUUUCAUAUUAGGCAGAAAAUACAGAGAUGAACAGGACAAAGUCUCCAUUUUCAUGAGGUUUACAUUCUGAGGAGGAGUAUUGAGGUGGAGACAAUUAAAAAAAUAACCAUGUAAUAUAAUGUCUGGUAUCAAUAAGUGUUUUUUUUUUUAAAAAAGCUAAAACAAUGUUAGGAGAGUGAUUGAGCAUCUAGAGAAGGCCUCUUAUGUGGUAACAUAUGAGCUAAGAGCUAAAUCAAGUGAGAGCACUCACCAAGCAUGUGAAGAUAUGGGCAAGCGCAAGUGCAAAGGACCUGUGGCCUAAAUAGGCUCCUUGUAUUCAAGGACAGAUUAGCAGACCUGUGCAUGUAGAGAAAGUAAGUGAGGGAAAAGCAGUAAGAGAGGGAACAUCUUGGAGGGCCAUGUGAGGGGUGAUGAGUGAACUGACUAUAUUAGAAUUGUUCCCUAUUUGUCUUCAAGAAGGAAAGCCUUGGCCACAUAAACACCAUGAGCCAAGAUCAGACAGAGCAGAAUGGAGUAACUGGGGACUAAAUGCAGCUUUAUACACACUAGGCCUACCCAAAGAUAAGCUCCAGAGCAUCUCUGAUGACUCCAAAGAAGGGCACAUCCCAGGGUUUUGUCUGUUUUCUACCUCAAAGAUUCACAGAUAGAGCAAACCCCAGACAAUGUGGAGCGAGGGGUUGAGUAAGAGGAGCUUCUGCCCAUGUUCCCAUUUGACCACAGGUGGCCAAUGGGUAAGCUUCUGCUUUCACAGCCUAGGUCUGUGUUAUAAAAUGUUAUAAGGAUCACCUGGGAAGCCUGUUAAAAAUAUAGAUUUCCAUGUUUCCCAACAUUCACAAAUAUGAAAUAUAGAAAUCAUGAGGGGCUACUGUACAUGUCUGGUGAAGGAAGGGGCAAAUUUCCAUUUUCAUCACCUGUUGGUACAAAUAAAGAGCCCCCUUAAGGUACUGUGACCUACAUACUAAAAGUUGCCAAUAGUAUUUAUUUUCAUAGAGAUGACAGCAUUUAUUUCCUAUACUUUGAUGGUUUUUCCCUCCUAAAGAAGUUAGGGGCUCUUGUAAUAAUAAAUGUCUUUUAGGAGUUCCCAUUGUGGCUCAGCGAAAAUGAAUCUGACUAGGAACCAUGAGGUUAUGGGUUCAAUCCCUGGCCUUGCUCAGUGGGUUAAGGAUCUGUCAUUGCUGUGAGCUGUGGUGUAGGUAGCAGAUGCAGCUUGGAUCUGGCAUUGCUAUGGCUCUGGAGUAGGCUGGCAGCUACAGCUCCAAUUGGACCCCUAGCCUGGGAACCCCCAUAUG
rnacentral:lncRNA from 1 species